CCAAUAAUGAUUUAUUUGGGUCCAGUUGAGUUACCUAAAAAGAUGAAGAACACAUAUUCAAAAGACUGAAACAAGCACUAUAUUCUCUACAUGGCCUUCAUUUUAUCUAUGCACACUGAUUCUGAAACUAUGCACUGGCACGAAGAGUCUCGCAGUAUCUUAGUUGAUCUUCAAAAUAACCUGCAAGGCAGGUGUUGUUAUUCUCAUUUUAUAAAUGAGGAAACCAGGGCUCAGGAAAAUCAAAUCUCAUAGUCAAGUUUGGUGGAGGUACCUUUCUUGCACAGCUCAGCCUGGCUGGCAGAACAGGGGGCCCUUGGGAAAGGUGCUGGUUAACAACUGACUGGCAUUCCUAGAGACCUCUGCUUGGUUAGCCCCUAAUAGAGGGGAGGGACUCUUCUGCUUGGUGGGACUACAGCUAAGCCUUUGGGGCUGAUCUUCCUCUUAGAACUACAUUAUAAACUGUAGAAUGGCCAUUCCACCAUGCCCAACGAUGAAGAUCUCCCCUGGUGAGGGGAGGCAUAUCAUACCCUUGUUGAUGGUAUAUUUAGUUUGGAAAAAAAACAGGCAAUGUCAUAAUACAACUUUAUAUUUUAAAAAUUAAAAAAAAUCAUAAUUUUGUAAUAUGAACUAUUGAAAGUCAAGCUAGACAAAAUCUUGGCUGAGUGGGAUACGUUAAUCAUACAGGGAUCCUAAAUUAGGUUUAUGCCCUCCUAGGCAACGGGCAGGGAUGGGACAUGAAGGUCUUCUGAAUCUGCGAGUGAGAGAAGAAACAAAACUUUCCUGUUUAUCAAAAGAGGUCACAAUGUUUAAAAGUUGAGUAAUACUGGUUUAGUGGAAACGACACAGGCUUUGGAAUUAGAAAGACUCUACUUUAAAUUACAGCUGUGUUGGCUAUCAGCUUUGUGGCUUUGGAGUUAGUAUCAAUCUUGCAGGACUCAUUGUGAGAAUUAAAUGAGAAAAAAUAUAUAAUUAGCAAAGUGUCUUGCCCAGAACAGGUGUUCCAUAAUGACUGCUGUGUGUGAGAGCAACUGUAAAGAUGGUGGACACACAGAUAAAUGGGCAACUCCAAGUGUGUGAUGGGAGGGCAAGCAAUCUCUAGUCAGGCCUGAGGCUGCUGCUCUGCUGCUCUGGGCCUGACUGCAGCACCUGAGGCAGGCAAUCUUAUCUUCUGCUUAACUCAAGCUGCUCCUAAUAAGAUGGUUCUGGUGUCUUCUUCCAUGGAGGGGUGGGGGAUAUGGGGAAGUGGAGGCCCUGGGGGCCAAGGCCAAGUAUCAAAGGCAGGCUGGCAAGGGGAAGGGGAAACUAUCUUCAGCUGUAUCUAGAUGGAAACCUGGUAUGCUCAGGAGGGUCUUUAAAAAGACACAUCCGCCCCUGGAAUCCUCUCCGCUUAUAAGGAACUCAGAGCAAAGCACACUGUAUUUGUAUCUCUUGGGUUGUGGGCAGAUGGACAGGCAAGGAGUGGGAAGGGCCUAGCCUGUCUAUCUUCCAAUGCACUGAGGGGCAAGCUGCUGGCAAAUGUUUACCCACUUCCCCAAUUAACGUACAAUACUCAUUGGCUUCUGUCAACAAACAGAGCUACUCUGCCUCUGCUUCUCAUUCGUUGGCAUUUUCUGCCCACCUGCUUCUGAUAUUGUUCUUAAUUAACAUGCCAGAGCUCUUCCAGCAUCUUCUACUUUGUUAUUUGUGGCUUGUAAAUAUGAUGUUUGUUGGGAGAAACGAUCAUUGUAAUCGUGUGCUAGGAAGCAAAAGAGGAUGGGAGGCUGAAGUAUCAGGCCUGAGUUGCACCAUGCUGGGGUUGUCAUAUGCAAGAUUAGAGGUUCAUAAACCACACCCAGUUUUCAUAUGAGAAAGCUGCAUCCAAGAAAAGUGGCUUUCUUCAGUCACUUUGAGUGGGAGAGCUGGAAUUUGAGAAGGAGGAAACUAAAAUUUCUUGAACGCCUACUAUAUGCCAGACAACAUAUCCAUACAACAACCAUGCAAGACAGUGGAGAUGAUUAAAUUGAAGCUCAAAGUGGUUACCACUUGUUUACAGCCAUAUGGUUAAUAAGUGUCUAUAAAGCACAGUGGUUAAAAAGAGUGAAGCAAACCUAGAGUCAAAUCCUAGGUCUGUCACUUCCUACCAGUAUGACUUUGAAGAAAUUAUAUAACCUGAGAGCCAGUUUUCUCACCUGUAAAAUGGGAAUCAUAGUUUCUCCUUCAUAGGUUGUUGUGAUUAUAGUUAAAUGGAAUAAUGUUGGUGCAGCCUCUGGUACAGUGUCUGAGCCAAUGAGUACUCAGUAGGUUGUAGCCAUUACUGACUGGGUAGGGGCCCUGAUCUUUCUAACUUCAAAGCUGCAGCUCUUUCACCAAAACCUCCUGGAACCCUGAUCUAUACCAGGCUAUCUUUCUUGUUUCUUCCCCACGGCCCAGCAAGAGUGCCCCCCCUUUCCUGAUCAGGUAAUGCCUCCAUCUCUGGAGACCCCCGUCUACAGCCUCAGUGAGGCUGUGUCACCAUUGGAUUGCUUCAAAGCAAACACGGCUGUGCUGGCUGCUCCCUCUGGUGCCCUAAAAAUAAAAUCAAGCAAUUUUUUUUCUUUGAAGGUCAUUUUAGGUAAGAAUUUCAAAGUGAGCAAGGACAAUCUCUAUUUCCAUUCUCAUUUGCCUGGCUUGGACAAACCAAUUGAGAGAAACCUAGGGGGAUGUAGGACAUCAUGUUUCUCCCCAGCAAGAUGGUGGCCAUGCUGUGAAACUGUCCUGCAGUGCUCUGGGCCCCAUUCAAGAAGGACAUGGAGCAUGCCAGGAGGGACCUCCUGCUUAGGAAAGAGCCUAAAAGCUAUGUUCUCCGAGAGACAGCUAAAGAAUGGGAGAUAUCUCCCUGGAGAGGGGGCACUGAGAAGUGGUGGUGUUGAUGUUGCUAUAUGGGUAGGGAGGGGGCUGUGUCAGCCCUCUUUGAAUAUCUGAAGGGCUGAUAAGUAGAAGACAGAGCAGAUGUGUUCUGUGCAGCUCUGGGGGAUACAGCUAGGGCUGGUGAAAUAAAAUCACAGGGAAGCAGAACCCAGCUAGUCAGAAACAACUUUUUACAGACAGACAGCAGCUGCCGACGUGGCUACUACUGCUUCUCUUAUCUUUCUCCCUCCUCUCUCUGUUCUUUAUUUUCUUGUUCUUCAGUCAUCAUCAUAGCAGCAACUAUCACUUAUCGAGUGCCUACUAUGUAGCUGGGAACCAUGUUAAGUACUUUAUAUACUUUUUAUAUAGUACCUUAACUAGACCUCACAACAGCUCAGUGAAAUAGGUACGAUUCUUUCCAUUUUAUGGAUGAAGAUACCACAGGUUAUCUUGCCCAAGGCUGCAGACAGAAUAAGGUUUCAUACUCAGGUCUGACUCUAAAGCUGAUGAUAUGAAUGAUUCUGACUAACAUGUCAACAGGCUGCCUUGGGGAAAUGGAGGUAGGGAGGGUGGGAUGGGUGAACUCUCUGCUGUUCCCAGAAGCACUCAAAUAGGGGCUUACUUGCAGAUGAUGACUAUAGAAGCUAAUGUUUAUUGAGCAUUUACUUUGUGCCAGGUAUAGUCCAAGCACUUUAAUAUAAAAGGUAGGUUAUCUGAGGUAGGGACAAUUAUUUUUAUUUUAUUUCAAUAGUUUUUGGGGAACAGGUGGUUUUUGUUACAUGGGUAUGUUCUUUAAUGGUAAUUUCUAAGACUUUGGUGCACCCGUCACCCAGGCACUGUAUAUUGUACCCAAUGUAUAGUGUUUUAUCCCUCAUCCCCUGCAACCUUCCCGCUGAGUCCCCAAAGUCCAUUAUAUCAUUUUUAUGCCUUUGCAUUGAGGUAAGGACAAUUAUUAUCCCCAUUAAGCCAAAAAGCCAAUGGAGAAAUUGAGCCCUGGAGCAGAUUAAGUAACUUGCCCAAGGUCUCAGAGCUAUUAAGGGCAGAGCCAGGCUGUGAAUCAAGGCAGUCUAGAUUUGGAACCCGCUACAUUACAUUUUCAGAGAUAUUGCUGAGAGUAGUUUCUAUAUAGAGAAAGAAGUUGGAUGAGAUGAUCCUGAAGUUGUUUCUAACCAAGCUUCCGGGAUAUAAGAUCUUCACUUUAAGAAUGGCAAUAGGUCAAGGGUCAGGAAAAAAGUCCUGAAAUGUUUAUAAAAUAUGAAUACAAAAACCCAAUCUGAGCUUGUGUUGUGCCAUUUACUUGGGACUUUACUGAAUUAUCGACUCUCUAAAUCAACAAAGAAGCCCACCUUUUGGGACUCCUUGGGGGAGAAGGGUCAUUCUCAGAUAAGAGGUAUGGCUUGAUUUUGUCUAUAGUUAGAAAAGGAAAGUCAACCAUCUUGACAUUUUCUUCACUAUACUUAGAAAACCUGAAUGGAUAUAUUUUCUCAUUAGCUUAAUCAUUUAGCAAAUUGGCUUUGUGAAACAUGUUUAUGUAACAAAAAUGGGACAGGUGUUCUUUGCCAAACAGAGCUAUUCCUUUCUAGAUCAAUUUUCUUAGCAGACUGAAAUUUCAUAUACUGUUUCUAUUACUUCCCUGGGCUUCAGUUCCUUUUCUAAAAAGCCUAUCACUGCUGUUGAGAAAAAUGUGAAUCCAUGGGACAGAUUCUCAUCCUAGGCCACACUGCGAAUCCUGGAAUGUUUGGGGUUGUGGGGGGGAAGCUCCUUAAAUGCCAAAUUAUCUAACCCCUUCAUUUCAUAGAAGGGCGAUCUAAAGCUUAGAGAGGUCAAGUGACUUAGCUGAGGUCACACGGUUGAAUAGGAGCAGACGCAGCACUGCAUGUGCAACACCCACAGAGUUUCUGACUUCUGUUUUGGGGCUCUUUCUAGUCACAUCCUUCUGCCUCUCACUUUUUAGUACCUGAGCAUAAACUACAGGAUGAGUAUCACUAAUGUAAAAAUCCCAAAUAUUUCAAAAUCCAAAACUUUUUGAGUGCUGACAUGAUGCUCAAAACAAAUGCUCUUUGGAGCAUUUCAGAUUUUGGAUGUUCUGAUUUGGGAUGCUCAACCAGUAGGUAAAUGUUCCAAACUCUUAAAAAAUCCAAAAUCCAAAACAUUUCUGGUCCCAUGCACUUCAGAUAAGGGAUACUCCACCUGUACUAUUAGGCUGGGAGCGACCUGAGGGCAGGAGCUGAGUAAUACUAAAAAGAAUAGCAGCAGCAAUACUUGCAUAGCCCUUCAUAGUUUGUAACAUAUUUACACAAACAUUAACUCACAAUCAUGUGAGGAAGUUAGAUCUUUUACAUUUAAUAUUUCUGAGGUAAUGCUUUUAUUUUGAAAUUGAAUAAAAGAAAGUCUGGAUCUAAUAUUUCACUUUUAGAAAAAAUGCUAGGUUGGAUUUUUUUCUUCUUUUUCUUUUUAAUGUUCCUAAUGCAUUUAACAGUUUAUGGGGGAAAUGCAUUGCGGUAGUACUUGGAAAUCAGCCCCACUCUGUAGAUUAGGAAACAAGACCCAGAGACUGGAUUUGUCUAUGAUCACAUAGGUAAGUGGUAGAGGCAGAACCAGAACCCAGGCCUUCUGCUGGUUCCCUAAUAAUUUUCAUAGUAACUCCCCACCUCUUACAAGUAGCCUAAAAGGGUUCUCUCUCAUUCCAUGAGUUACAGGCUUUAGGUUCAAUAUGUGGAACUGGAAAACAAUAAACCAACAGAGGCUUCUCAAAACAUAUUCCUGCUUUUUUUUUUUUUUUUUUUUUUGAGAUGGAGUCUCCCUCUGUUGUCCAGGCUGGAGUGCAGGGGCACGAUCUCGGCUCACUGCAAGCUCCGCCUCCCGGGUUCAUGCCAUUCUCCUGCCUCAGCCUCCCGAGUAGCUAGGACUACAGGUGCCCGCCACCACGCCUGGCUCAUUUUUUGUAUUUUUAGUAGAGACGGGGUUUCACCGUGUUAGCCAGGAUGGUCUCGAUCUCCUGACCUAGUGAUCCGCCCGCCUCGGCCUCCCAAAGUGCUGGGAUUACAGGCGUGAGCCACCGCGCCUGGCCUAUUCCUGCUUUUAAAAUAAAAUUUGCAUUUGAGAAAGUUCCAGCAUCUUAAAGGCAGAAAAGCUCUUGUUACCAAAUUUUGUCUAGUAUUUGUUUGCUUGCCUUGCCUCUGGUGACCAAUAACUUUCAUUCUCUAGACUGUGUGCUGAUAGCACUGUGAGUUGAAGGGACCCUGAAUAGCCUGACUCUCAGGAGCAACCCUUUGCCACGCUGGCAGAAAAUCUGUAAGUCUCUUUGAGUCCACACAGAGAUCAAACUCCAAAACCUCAUCCAUCUCAUCUUACCUCUUACGCCAAUGUCAAGGACAAGCAGGUCUAAUCCUCUACAUUAGACACAGACAGAGCAAAAUAAGUUUCUCCAAGCUUUAGGAAAUCCAUCCCUUCAGUUAUAGACUAUGUACUUCAGAAAACCCUCUCCUCUCUGAAUUCCUCUGUGCUGACUGCCAAGGCUGUACAUUAUCUAAUGUUAUCAGGAUAUAAAGGACCAGACUAUAUGGGUUCCAGUCCUGACUCUAGCAGUAUGACUUUGGACGAGUCACUUUUCUUGUCUAGGCUUUAAUUUUUGCAUUUUUAGAAGUGUGAGGGCGAGUCAGUGGAGUAAACUGGAUUGCAGUUAAGCUUUGGAAAUAUAAUACUAACACUUAAAUUCAAAUCUCUUAGCCAAGUCAGUAAGAUGCUUACUUGUGCACUAGUUCCCUUCUCCACUGGGUGAAAGGUUAUUAUAGGGAUUGAAAUAGCCAUCAAGGGCCUGACACAUGGAAGCUAUUAUGAUUCAGUGCCUUCUUUAUGUGUAAGUAGAUGGUGUCUAUGUGGUUUGAGUUCCCCAGUGGCUGGAACUGUUGAAGUGUGAUCCCAGGGAGGGAUACCUGGGUUGGAUUCCCACUGCUAUAACCUCCUAGCUGUCUGAUGACCCUGGGCAAAUUCAAUGUUUAUUUAUAAAAUUGAGACCUUUUUUUUGCCUCCCAGAGUUGUUGUGAGGGUCAAUAAUAUAAAACUUAUAACUCUUGUUGGGGGAAGUAUUUAUUUCACAUUUAUGUAUCCACAUGGAGUGACUUCUGGAUGUGUUCCCUAUCUCCCACACAGGGGUGAGAACAAACUUAUUUGCCUGGUGAAUUUGGGAGAAGGAUCUGAGCUCAGCCCCUUCCUUUUCCUUUUCUGGAACCAACCUGCUCUCAUGUUACAAGCUUGGCAGUAUGUGCCUCAAGUCUGCCAGGAUGAUCUUCUCCUGUCGUAUCUGCCCUGCCACACUUGGUUGGCCCUUAUAGACAAGACUGUGUUGUAAUUAUCAUCACACCCUUCAAAGUGUAUACCUGUCAUUCUUCAUCUAUCUAUCCAUCUACCUACCCACAACUCAGCGAGCCUCUACUUUGUGCUAGACCUGUGAACUCAUAGCCCUGAGCAUAAUUAUAUGCUGAGUCCUACGAAUCUUCCUAGGAAAUCACAUAUAUAUGAAUGAAACAUUUUAUAUCGAUUUUUAAAUGCUCACUACAUGCCUCUGAAGCAGUCAAGCAGUUUAUUGUGGUUUAAUGAUGAGAUGCAUGUGCUGAGGAGGUAAUCAGAAGAAGUGAGAAAAGGAGACGGUGUGAAAUUUUGAAGAUUUUAUAUGCCAUGAUGCAGAAAUAAAAGUUCAGCAGGGUCAAGUAAGUUGUCCAAUGUUCAGUAUGAUGGAGUGGGAUUCACAUGCAAGACUAACUACCACUGAACCAUUUACUUCUGACUUUGCUAUUCUGCUUCCACUCACUGAACAUCUCUCUGAGCAAGGCUCAGCACCUGGUAUGAAGGCUGAAACAAGAGCGGUUGCACAGCAAAUGUUUUGCUAUAAUGAGAGAAUACAUGAAUUAAAUGCGAAUUAAACUGCUUCUA